ensembl:miRNA microRNA 27b
CACUUUUCUAAAGACACAGGACUUAGCUCAUUAGUGAGCAUGGGAACCAAUCACAGAUUGUUCACAGUGGCUAAGUUCAGUGUCUGACAUGAAAGAAU